rnacentral:rRNA from 1 species
GAUGAACGCUGGCGGCGUGCCUAAUACAUGCAAGUCGAGCGAACAGAUGAGGAGCUUGCUCCUCUGACGUUAGCGGCGGACGGGUGAGUAACACGUGGAUAACCUACCUAUAAGACUGGGAUAACUACGGGAAACCGGAGCUAAUACCGGAUAAUAUAUUGAACCGCAUGGUUCAAUAGUGAAAGACGGUUUUGCUGUCACUUAUAGAUGGAUCCGCGCCGCAUUGGCUAGUUGGUAAGGUAACGGCUUACCAAGGCAACGAUGCGUAGCCGACCUGAGAGGGUGAUCGGCCACACUGGAACUGAGACACGGUCCAGACUCCUACGGGAGGCAGCAGUAGGGAAUCUUCCGCAAUGGGCGAAAGCCUGACGGAGCAACGCCGCGUGAGUGAUGAAGGUCUUCGGAUCGUAAAACUCUGUUAUUAGGGAAGAACAAAUGUGUAAGUAACUAUGCACGUCUUGACGGUACCUAAUCAGAAAGCCACGGCUAACUACGUG